GGCCGCCUGGCGUAAUGGCAACGCGUCUGACUACGAUAAGUUGGUAUCAUUGUAAUCAGGAGAUUGCAGGUUCGACCCCUGCGGUGGUCA